AAUUCAAUAAAUUAAUAACAUAGUUAGCUAUUAGACCAAAUGAUAAUGAGCAUAAUUGCACCACUAAAAAACGACAUAAAGACAAUAUUAAUCAAAAUAGGCAAAUUUGAGGCUAGGGAUGUAUACUUUUGACAAGUAAUGAGGGUUCGAUAUCCAUAAUCAAUACAAGAAUAAAGAAGGGUAGCGAACAAAAUAACAAAAAGUGACACCUCUCUUAUCUGUCCCAACAGAUGAUGUGAAAUAUACAUUCUUUCAGCAAAUUAACUAGGAUGAUUAUAAAUCUAACCAAAUUAAGGAUAAAUCAAUCCACCUUAUAUAAAAAAGAAACAGCUUUCAUCGCAUUAAAAACUUGAAUGCUUCAUUGGUGUUUUCUAUUUAUCCAAGACUAUUAGAAUGAGAACGGAACUCAUCCCUCUCAGAGUAAGCCACUUGAAUACCUACUAACACAUUUGCAUCAACUUCUCCCUGCAGAGACAUUGGAUUCGGUCAAUUAAGAAAUAAUAGCAGCAAAAUGGCAUCAUUAGUAUAUGCAAGAAAAUGAUACUAACAAUGAAGACAAGCUAGGAGAUUGUAACCGGCCCUUUAGUGGAAGAAUAAGCUUAUAUUCCAACGUGGACCUAGAGCAUCCAAGAAUUUCAUCAAAGCUCCUGGUCUCUUUAGGGAAAACAAAACUACAAAUAAGCUCAUUCUUAACAUUUGAUUAGCCUACCAUCUGAAAGAGAUCCAAACUAAAGUUAACUUGUGAACUGAUUAUUUAACAAGUUUCAUAAUCGUGCUAUCCAUGUAGAAGACAAAGGAAAUUUACCUUUUCGGUCAAGGAGCUAAGUGUCAACACAAAAAAGUAUCAAACAUAGCCCAAUCGUUUGGUUCUAUUUUGCAAGUGUGGCUUUAGAGUGCCUUUAUGUUUACAAGGCAUUUUGUUCUAAUCCACGAGAAUUGCUACUGUAAUCAAGCAAGAAAUUUUCAAUCAUGACCUUUAUUCCUAUUUUCUUAGUAAUGAAACUUCAUUAUUCCUUUUUUGUAGUUAUCUUAAAAUUAUUUGAUUCACUAGACUUUCCAACAAUUCAAAUUAUCUUCUUCGUCAACUCAUUUCUUCUACUUCAUUAAAGCUGUUGUUUCAUCUAGUAGCCUUAACUACUCCAACAAAGAAAGCUCAUAUCAUUAAUCAUAUACACCAAGCAGAAUCCAAUUCAUCAAGGCAAGGGAAAAGAAAAUCAAGAUGCAAAAGAUAAACCCUAGAAAAAUAAAAUUGCCUAUAAUUCCAUAAAAUUCAAUAUUAGAAACCCAUAUUAGCUUCUUGAAAUUGAAGAAGAACGAUAUAAUUUACCUCAAAGUGAAAGGAAAGCAACACAGAUUUUUUAAGAGCACUUAUGAUAUGGAACUUUUUCUUCUCAAAGCUAAAUAUCGCUGUUAAUUUGUGAUUUGAUGAGCUUAUUAAUGUAUUUAGAAUUUCUACGAUUUGGUUUUUAGCUUUGGUUGACAGAGGAAAUGAGAAGAGAAAGAAGAAAAUUUGAUUUAGGGGACGAAACGGAAUGGGAAGAAAGGUUAAAA
rnacentral:lncRNA from 1 species